CUUCCGCAAUGCGCGCAAGCGUGACGGGGGUAGCCCGAGUGCCUCUCGAAAGGGAGGCUUUUCCCAAGGUUGAUGCCCUUGGGGAAUAAGUGGUGGGUAAAUCUCGUGCCAGCCGCCGCGGUAAUACGAGUAGCACGAGUGGUGCCCACGAAUAUUGAGCCUAAAGCGCCCGUAGCCGGCUCUGCGCGUUCCCCGUGAAAUCUCUCCGCUCAACGGAGAGGCGCGCGGGGAAUACGGUCGGGCUCGGGAGUGGGGGAGGUCACAGGUACGCUAGGGGGAGCGGUAAAAUGCUGUAAUCCUUGGCGGACCACCGGUGGCGAAGGCGUGUGACCAAAACACGUCCGACGGUGAGGGGCGAAGGCCGAGGGAGCGAAAGGGAUUAGAUACCCCUGUAGUCUCGGCAGUAAAUUAUGCGGACUUGGCGUUGCAACUACUUCGUGUGGUUGCAGUGCCGGAGCGAAGGCGUUUAGUCCGCCGCUUGGGGAGUACGGCCGCAAGGCUGAAACUUAAAGGAAUUGGCGGGGGGGAGCACA
rnacentral:rRNA from 1 species